CGGACGGGUGAGUAACGCGUGAGAAUCUGGCUUCAGGUCUGGGACAACCACUGGAAACGGUGGCUAAUACCGGAUGUGCCGAAAGGUGAAAGGUUAACUGCCUGAAGAUGAGCUCGCGUCUGAUUAGCUAGUUGGAAGUGUAAUGGACUCCCAAGGCGACGAUCAGUAGCUGGUCUGAGAGGACGAUCAGCCACACUGGGACUGAGACACGGCCCAGACUCCUACGGGAGGCAGCAGUGGGGAAUUUUCCGCAAUGGGCGAAAGCCUGACGGAGCAAUACCGCGUGAGGGAGGAAGGCUCUUGGGUCGUAAACCUCUUUUCUCAGGGAAGAACACAAUGACGGUACCUAAGGAAUAAGCAUCGGCUAACUCCGUGCCAGCAGCCGCGGUAAUACGGAGGAUGCAAGCGUUAUCCGGAAUGAUUGGGCGUAAAGCGUCCGCAGGUGGCGAUGAAAGUCUGCUGUUAAAGAGUCUAGCUCAACUAGAUAAAAGCAGUGGAAACUACAUAGCUAGAGUACGUUCGGGGCAGAGGGAAUUCCUGGUGUAGCGGUGAAAUGCGUAGAGAUCAGGAAGAACACCGGUGGCGAAGGCGCUCUGCUAGGCCGUAACUGACACUGAGGGACGAAAGCUAGGGGAGCGAAUGGGAUUAGAUACCCCAGUAGUC
rnacentral:rRNA from 1 species